ensembl:lncRNA
CCCAGUAGUGAGAAUACACCAUGACAUGAUCCCUGCACAAAUCAUUCCCUUUCCCCCAUCCCAAUUACACAAUUAACUCUGCAUUUAAUCAUGCAAGUGUCCGGUGCUCAGGUUUCUUGGGGGACGGGAAGUUCGCGGGACCAGGAAGUGCGUGUGAUGUCAGUGCUUGUUUGUGUGGUGCGACAAUGUAUGGAUUAACGGCGUGAAAUGGGUUAUAGAGCGGAUACAACUGGUACCUAGCUGAUCGCUAUGAUGGUGAAUGGCAAAUGGGUGAGUAGCAGAGGGAUUUGUGAAUGGGGAGGUUACAUGAACGAAUAGGGACACGGUUGCCGGCACCGUGCUAAAUUCAAACAUACCGGGUUGUGUAUGGAUGCGUGUGUGCGUGUUUCCGUGUGGUAAAGAAGUAGUGAUCAAUUUAAAUGUCGCGGAUAGUGUCAGUCGCCGUUGGUGGAAAGGAGGGGCUGCCUUUUCACACACUGCCUUUCUCCAGGCUUCAGGUGUCUAUUCAACCAUGCAGUGGAAUUAGAAAUGGUUUUGCCCAGACAAAGAUACAGUCAAGCCGGAAAGUCUGCACGCCCCUUCCACCUUUUCCAUGUUUUAUUACGUUACAGACAUAUAAUAGAUUGAGUUCAUUUUUUGUCUCACAAUUCUACACAAAAUAGCCCAUGUUGACAAAGCAAAUUUUUGUGCUAAUUUAUUAAAAAUCUAAAUGUAAGAUAUCAUAUGUACACAAGUGUGCACACCCUUUGAUAUGACACCCAAAAGUGAGCUGAGGUGCAUUUUGUUUCCACUGAUACCGCUUGAGAUGUUUCUACAACUUAAUUGGAGUCCACCUGUGAUAAAUUCAAUUGAUUGGACAUGAUUGGGGAUUGCCAACACCGGCCUAUAUAAGGUCCACCAGUUGACAGUGCAUGUCAGAGCAAACUCCAAGCCAUGGGGUCAAAGGAAUUAUCUGCAGACCUCAGAAACAGGAUUGUGUCAAGUGUCUACUUUUUGAAGGACAGUGAAAGUUCCACAACAUGGCUGGACAGAUUUCAGAAAGAUCUCUCUGCUGUAAAUGAACACUGCAAAUCUGAGACAGGAUGAAAUAAACCUACGGACUGCUGAUGGAACGUCUUUGUUUUCCAUUACAUACGCACUUGUCAUCUCCUUUUCAGUCAUGUCUUACUUAAGGGAUUGGUGUUGAUGACGUGUUCAUAAUGGUCUCAAACUGGCAGCAGACCAUCGUCAGAGACCCUGUUGAGAAAUGCAUGGCGGACACCUACAAAGAGGCAGCCAUGUCCAUCACCAUAACCACCCUAACUGACAUCAUUGGGUUUUACAUCGGCCUCAUGAAUGACUUCCCCUCAGUCCGGGCCUUCUGUUUGUACAGCAGCACUGC